rnacentral:lncRNA from 1 species
AUGACGUCAUAUUCCAGCGCCUUCCCGUACUGCUCAAAGAGUGAGCGAAUCUCUUGCCCUGUGGCCUCCCGGGGCAGGUUUCCAAUGAACAACUUCACCAUCUGGAUCCAGCCGUACAGAAAUCAGCGGGGCCUCUUCCUCGCGGCGGACGCUUCUGACAAAACGCUAAAACGGCGGCGAGCGCAGCCCUACGACAUUAGCAAACAAGUUUGUACUACCAUAAAAUAAUUAAGCUGGGGAAAGAAACCUUGGACCCACCUUUGGACUCCGAAGCUCCCAGAAGCCCACAGAAGCAAAAAACAUGAUCUUUCCUUUGGAGCUAUAUCAUUCUGCUUAGCCUGACAAUCACAGCAUCUUGCCCUGCUACGACUGAAUUAAAGUGUAGGUAUGUGAUUUAAACGAGACUAAGUCCUUUUUUGAGUUCAUUCACUUAUUUCUUUUUAUAUAUAAAACCUAAAAGACAGGUAUUUUCUUCUUUCCAGAGUUGCACCUGUAAGGAAAAAGAAACUUGGCAACAGUGAUCUGAACCUCUAACAGGUGCACCACUGCCAUCCUAGUGAAAUAAGCUUGUCGAUCCCUUUUACUCUAAAGACUGUGUGGCUUUCCUGACUUGAACUGAAAGAAUAUUGAGCAAUGACUAAAAUGCCAUAGAAGUCUGUGAAAAACAAACAUUGUACUAUAUGACUAUUGCAAUCCACAUUUCACGAUGUUUUGUCGCACCAAAAUCAUGUUGAGAAUCAUUGAAAGACUUUCAAAACAUAGAUGACAAAAUGUAAAAUCUUGAGCAAUGUGGGGAUGAUACAAAACUGGUAUAUUGGAGGCUUUGUGUAAUGGCCAUAAAAAGCCUGAUCACUUUCAUUCAAAGCUCGUAAAGAGUUAAUAAAUUAAUAAGAAUAAACCAGACAACAGGGGGAGGCCAGCAGAAAUAUCAUGGGUUUGAGGUUAGUGUCCCCGAGUAGAGCUCUUCUAUUUCCUCAGACAAUCCUCAACUUCUGGGAGUUUAACUUUAUAAUGGUGCUAAAGUGAUAAGCGUUCAGUAGAGCUGUAAUUCAAAUUUUGAAUUCUACUUUUUUUCAGGUUAGUGAUACCAAGAUUCUAGGGAGCAGAAGCCAUGCAAUUACAAGGGUAAACAACUGAUCCCCUGUAGUGCACUCACUGUGUUGCUAAGCUGUGACACUCAGUAGGUUAGGAAUCUUAAAUGCAGUUUCCACUUAUGAUAUUUCCAGCUGAAGAUGGGUUUACCAAGUCAUGGCUCCAUGGUGAGUCUAGGAUCAAAGGUAAGUCAGUUCAUAUUUUUGCCUCAUUUAAUUCAUCUGUCUUAUAAAAAUAUUUUCUUUAUACUUCAUAGGGUUGUUUGAAAAAAUAGAUCAUAUUAAAAGCUAAGAAACCGGUUAUAUAAGACUGUUAUACCGUAUUGUAACUACAUUUAAAAAAGUAGCUAUUUGCCAAGUUCAGGCCAGCAAACCCUGUUAGAGACCAGUGAGGAUGUGAAAGACAGAGAAUAUCUUUGUCAGGGGGCAGGGUACUACACCAGAAUGGAGUGAAGCCCUGAAUUGACUCAGACCCCCAGAUUUAUUGAGGAACAACAAAGGCAUAGAGUUCUUUCGGGCACAGAUGCUUGUUUUAGGUAGUAAGGCAGGCAAGCAGGGCAUGGUGACAAUUUGGGUGAAUAGUUAACUUUCAUCUGAUGUCCCCCCAGGAGCUACCUUGUUUUCCCCACAAGGCACAUCUCUGCCGGAGUUGACAAAGCACCCCAUCUUCUACAUGUGUUGGCAGUCUUCCCCCUCCUGAGUCAACCCGAGCAGACCCUGACUCAUCGGUUAUUGCAAGGAACUCCACAAUUAUUUUAGUUGAAUUUUCUGUCAUUGUAGAUAAAACUGCAAUUUUGCCAUAUCUGAAAACAAAUGACUUAUUUCACAUGUACAAUGCCAUUUAAUCCAUUAAAAAGCACAGUAAAAAUUUGAGUAUGAUUAUCUACCUUUCAGAGAAGCUUCUGAAAACAAGCACACUUUGAGAAUGUGGCUGAAUUAAACCGUGGUUCCUUAUCACAAUGAAGCUUUCUGGGCAGUGAAAGAGGAUUUAAAAACAACUGUUUCAGUGCACUGAAGAAGAAAGGGUUUUGUUAUAUUUAGUGUUUGAUUGAUUUAUACUUUAUUAUAUUUUAUACAUGAUGUUUUCUUCCCAGGCAUAAAUUUAUCCCAAAAUCCUCCCUCUGGUAUUAACUUUAUUAUAAAUGUCUACAGGGUAAUUGAUACCAUGAGAAUAUAUUUAAUUUCCCUCCCAUGUGAUUCUAAUAUUCAGAAGAGAAACACAUGUUCUUAGAGGAAGGGAAAAUGAAAAAGCAGGAAAACUGCCUACAGAGAAAAAUUUCAAUAUAAAUUCUACUAGAACAAAUAUCUGGGAGAUUACAGAUAUUAAAUGCAUCCUCCAAGAGAGUAAAUUCUAUUGUGUGAAAUCCGAGUGAUUUAUCCUAAGGUAAAGAGAGUUCUAGAGAUGAAAUCAGGA